CUGCACUUCUUUCAGCCGCAUCGGAGGCAUGAUCGCCCCACUUCAUAGCACAGUGAUUUUAGAUAUGCUGCCAUUUACUGUGGCCUGUGUGCUUUGUGCUGUUGGAGCCUUUCUACUGCCUAUCGAGACAAAGGGACGAGCACUACUGCAAAAUUCCUGACUGUGUACAUGUGAUUCUUAACACAUUCAUGCAAUUGUACAUUUACACGUUUUAUACUUUGACAGCUGUCUUUGUGUUGUAAAUGAUCUAGAUAUUUAUAUUUCAGAAAGUGUGUACGCUUGAGCGGAAAAUAACUGGUCAGGCGGGGGAAUUCAGUCUCACAUCCCAACCACUAGAUGGUGACAUUACCCUGUAGGGAGAUUUUAGCCGUCGUC
ensembl:lncRNA